AGCAGCCGCGGUAAUUCCAGCUCCAAUAGCGUAUAUUAAAGUUGUUGCAGUUAAAAAGCUCGUAGUUGAAUUUCGGGAUCAAUUUGCUGGUCGUGCCUCUGGUACGUACUGGUAUUAUUGGUUUCUCCCUUCUGACGAACCAUGAUGUCAUUAAUUUGAUGUCGUGGAGAAUCAGGACUGUUACUUUGAAAAAUUAGAGUGUUUAAAGCAGGCAUUAGCUUGAAUACAUUAGCAUGGAAUAAUGAAAUAGGACGUUUGAUCCUAUUUUGUUGGUUUCUAGGAUUGACGUAAUGAUUAAUAGGGAUAGUUGGGGGCAUUAGUAUUCAAUUGUCAGAGGUGAAAUUCUUGGAUUUAUUGAAGACUAACUACUGCGAAAGCAUUUGCCAAGGAUGUUUUCAUUAAUCAAGAACGAAAGUUAGGGGAUCGAAGACGAUCAGAUACCGUCGUAGUCUUAACCAUAAACUAUGCC
rnacentral:rRNA from 1 species